rnacentral:rRNA from 1 species
AGGGUUUGAUUCUGGCUCAGGAUGAACGCUGGCGGCGUGCAUAACACAUUCAAGUCGAACGGAGCUUUACGUAUUAAUCCUACGGGAAGCGUGUGUAAAGCUUAGUGGCGGACGGGUGAGUAACGCGUGAGCAACCUGCCUGCAAUAGAGGGAUAACACUUGGAAACGGGUGCUAAUACCGCAUGAAGCAGCAGCACCGCAUGGUGUAGCUGUUAAAGGGAAACCGAUUGCAGAUGGGCUCGCGUAUGAUUAGGUAGUUGGUGAGGUAACGGCUCACCAAGCCUGCGAUCAUUAGCCGAACUGAGAGGUUGAACGGCCACAUUGGAACUGAGAAACGGUCCAG